GGGCCCGUAGCUCAACGGUAGAGCGGGGGACUCUUAAUCCCUAGGUUCAGGGUUCGAAUCCCUGCGGGCUCACCA
rnacentral:tRNA from 1 species